GACGAACGCUGGCGGCGCGCCUAACACAUGCAAGUCGAACGAGCGAGAGAGAGCUUGCUUUCUCAAGCGAGUGGCGAACGGGUGAGUAACGCGUGAGGAACCUGCCUCAAAGAGGGGGACAACAGUUGGAAACGACUGCUAAUACCGCAUAAGCCCACGACCCGGCAUCGGGUUGAGGGAAAAGGAGCAAUCCGCUUUGAGAUGGCCUCGCGUCCGAUUAGCUAGUUGGUGAGGUAACGGCCCACCAAGGCGACGAUCGGUAGCCGGACUGAGAGGUUGAACGGCCGCAUUGGGACUGAGACACGGCCCAG
rnacentral:rRNA from 1 species